rnacentral:rRNA from 1 species
UACAGAGGAUGCAAGCGUUAUCCGGAAUGAUUGGGCGUAAAGCGUCUGUAGGUGGCUUUUUAAGUCCGCCGUCAAAUCCCAGGGCUCAACUCUGGACAGGCGGUGGAAACUACCAAGCUGGAGUACGGUAGGGGCAGAGGGAAUUUCCGGUGGAGCGGUGAAAUGCGUAGAGAUCGGAAAGAACACCAACGGCGAAAGCAGGUUUCUGGGCCAUCACUGACGCUGAGCUGCGAAAGCUAGGGGAGCAAACAGG